ensembl:lncRNA
UGUGUACUGACAUGUGACCUACUGGUUGUGUGUACUGACAUGUUUGUAACUGGUAGAUGCACACAAACUACAUGUUCAUGUUAUUCAAUGUAUGUAAAUUGUAAAGUAUUUUGUCCGUAAUGUCUUUCACGUUAUGGAACCCAGUAAGACUAGCUCUGUGAGGGUAGUCUAUAUACAGUAGGUCUGUGAGGGUAGUCUAUAUACAGUAGCUCUGUGAGGGUAGUCUAUAUACAGUAGGUCUGUGAGGGUAGUCUAUAUACACUAGCUCUGUGAGGGUUGUCUAUAUACACUAGCUCUGUGAGGGUAGUCUAUAUACAGUAGGUCUGUGAGGGUAGUCUAUAUACAGUAGGUCUGUGAGGGUAGUCUAUAUACAGUAGGUCUGUGAGGGUAGUCUAUAUACACUAGCUCUGUGAGGGUUGUCUAUAUACACUAGCUCUGUGAGGGUAGUCUAUAUACAGUAGGUCUGUGAGGGUAGUCUAUAUACAGUAGGUCUGUGAGGGUAGUCUAUAUACAGUAGCUCUGUGAGGGUAGUCUAUAUACAGUAGGUCUGUGAGGGUAGUCUAUAUACAGUAGGUCUGUGAGGGUAGUCUAUAUACAGUAGGUCUGUGAGGGUAGUCUAUACACAUCCAUACACACAGGGCCCUACUGUAGGUACUAUACAGCAUAUUGUUGUCCUAUUGAUCUCCCAUGAACCGUUCCUCUCAUUACUGUAACCACCACCACACACACACCAGCGAUACUUCCACUAGCUCAGCAACCUUCCCCCUCCUCUCACUGCGUCCCAAAUGGCACCCUAUUCUCUAUAGGGCACUACUAGGACUCUGGUCAAAAGUAGUACACUAUAUAGGGAAUCGGGUGCCAUUAGCGACCCACCCUCAGUCUCCACCUGGGCUUAACAACACAAACCCUAAUGGAGCCUAUGGAACCACACAAAACCCCUCCCUUUUCUGUACAGCUUGUCAAUCUCAAUGACAUCACAAUCGGAUUCAAUCAUUUGAUCAAAGAUGUAGUUGGAUCCUGCACCUGAUGGAGUAAUGACUAGCAAGACUGCCAGGAUCUCAGUUUAGCAAAGGAUGAUUGGUCAAAAGACUGCCACCUGAAUUCAACAGCAUAACUAAUUGGUCUGAUUUCUGCCACCCAACCAACCAAAUUAUUAAAUAAAAUCUUC